rnacentral:rRNA from 1 species
UACGGGGGGGGCAAGCGUUGUUCGGAAUUACUGAGCGUAAAGGGCUCGUAGGCGGCCAACUAAGUCAGACGUGAAAUCCCUCGGCUUAACCGGGGAACUGCGUCUGAUACUGGAUGGCUUGAGUUUGGGAGAGGGAUGCGGAAUUCCAGGUGUAGCGGUGAAAUGCGUAGAUAUCUGGAGGAACACCGGUGGCGAAGGCGGCAUCCUGGACCAACACUGACGCUGAGUGAGCGAAAGCCAGGGGAGCAAACGGGG